AUACGUAGGGAGCGAGCGUUGUCCGGAAUUACUGGGCGUAAAGGGCGCGUAGGCGGCGCUUCAAGUCGUCUGUCAAAUGCGAGGGCUUAACCCUUUUUCGCAGACGAAACUGGAGAGCUUGAGAAGCAGAGAGGCAAACAGAAUUCCUGGUGUAGCGGUGAAAUGCGUAGAUAUCAGGAAGAAUACCAGUGGCGAAGGCGGUUUGCUGGCUGCAUACUGACGCUGAAGCGCGAAAGCCAGGGGAGCGAACGGGAUUAGAUACCCCGGUAGUCCUGGCAGUAAACGAUGUAUGCUGGGUGUGAGACUAGCGAUAGUUUCGUGCCGAAGUUAACGCGAUAAGCAUACCGCCUGGGGAGUACGGUCGCAAGAUUGAAACUCAAAUGAAUUGACGGGG
rnacentral:rRNA from 1 species